GACGAACGCUGGCGGCGUGCUUAACACAUGCAAGUCGAGCGGAAAGGCCCUUCGGGGUACUCGAGCGGCGAACGGGUGAGUAACACGUGAGAAACCUGCCCUGGACUUUGGGAUAACCCUCGGAAACGGGGGCUAAUACCGGAUAUGACAUUCGACCGCAUGGUUGUUUGUGGAAAGUUUUUCGGUCUGGGAUGGUCUCGCGGCCUAUCAGCUUGUUGGUGGGGUAAUGGCCUACCAAGGCGACGACGGGUAGCCGGCCUGAGAGGGCGACCGGCCACACUGGGACUGAGACACGGCCCAGACUCCUACGGGAGGCAGCAGUGGGGAAUAUUGCACAAGUGGGCGAAGCCUGAUGCAGCGACG
rnacentral:rRNA from 1 species